GGGCCCGCACAAGUGGUGGAGCAUGUGGUUUAAUUCGAAGCAACGCGCAGAACCUUACCAACCCUUGACAUAGAUAUCGCAGAUGCCAGAGAUGGCGUCCUUCAGUUCGGCUGGAUAUCAUACAGGUGCUGCAUGGCUGUCGUCAGCUCGUGUCGUGAGAUGUUGGUUAAGUCCCGCAACGAGCGCAACCCUCGUCUUUAGUUACCAUCAGGUUUGGCUGGGUACUCUAGAGAGACUGCCGGUGAUAAACCGGAGGAAGGUGGGGAUGACGUCAAGUCCUCAUGGCCCUUAUGGGUUGGGCUACACACGUGCUACAAUGGCGGUGACAGUGAGCAGCGACGGGGCGACCCUGAGCUAA
rnacentral:rRNA from 1 species